AGAGUUUGAUCAUGGCUCAGAUUGAACGCUGGCGGCAUGCUUUGCACAUGCAAGUCGAACGGCAGCACGGGCUUCGGCCUGGUGGCGAGUGGCGAACGGGUGAGUAAUGCAUCGGAACGUGCCCAUUUGUGGGGGAUAACGCGGCGAAAGUCGCGCUAAUACCGCAUACGCCCUGAGGGGGAAAGCGGGGGAUUCUUCGGAACCUCGCGCAAUUGGAGCGGCCGAUGUCAGAUUAGCUAGUUGGUAGGGUAAAGGCCUACCAAGGCGACGAUCUGUAGCGGGUCUGAGAGGAUGAUCCGCCACACUGGGACUGAGACACGGCCCAGACUCCUACGGGAGGCAGCAGUGGGGAAU
rnacentral:rRNA from 1 species